AGAGCUGCUGCCUCCCGUCUGGAGUAUAAGCACCGGCUAACUACGUGCCAGCAGCCGCGGUAAUACGUAGGGUGCAAGCGUUAAUCGGAAUUACUGGGCGUAAAGCGUGCGCAGGCGGUUUUAUAAGUCUGAUGUGAAAUCCCCGGGCUCAACCUGGGAACUGCAUUGGAGACUGUAAGUGCUAGAGUGUGUCAGAGUGGGGGUACGAAUU
rnacentral:rRNA from 1 species